UACAGAGGUCUCAAGCGUUUGUUCGGAUUCAUUGGGCGUAAAGGGUGCGUAGGCGGCGCGGUAAGUCGGGUGUGAAAUCUUGGAGCUUAACUCCGAAACUGCAUUCGAUACUGCCGUGCUUGAGGACUGGAGAGGAGACUGGAAUUUACGGUGUAGCGGUGAAAUGCGUAGAUAUCGUAAGGAAGACCAGUGGCGAAGGCGGGUCUCUGGACAGUUCCUGACGCUGAG
rnacentral:rRNA from 1 species